CCUACGGGAGGCAGCAGUGAGGAAUAUUGCGCAAUGGGGGAAACCCUGACGCAGCAACGCCGCGUGGGUGAAGAAGGCCUUCGGGUCGUAAAGCCCUUUCGGACGGGACGAACGCUCCACGGUGAAAGCCGUGGAGUCUGACGGUACCGUAGGAAGAAGCACCGGCUAACUCCGUGCCAGCAGCCGCGGUAAUACGGAGGGUGCGAGCGUUGUUCGGAAUUACUGGGCGUAAAGCGCGUGUAGGCGGCCUUGCAAGUCAGGCGUGAAAGCCCUCGGCUUAACCGGGGAAGUGCGUCUGAAACUGCUUGGCUUGAGUACGGGAGAGGGAGGCGGAAUUCCCAGUGUAGAGGUGAAAUUCGUAGAUAUUGGGAGGAACACCGGUGGCGAAAGCGGCCUCCUGGACCGAUACUGACGCUGAGACGCGAAAGCGUGGGGAGCAAACAGGAUUAGAUACCCUGGUAGUCCACGCGGUAAACGAUGGGCACUAGGUGUGGGGGGUAUCCACUCCUCCCGUGCCGAAGCUAACGCAUUAAGUGCCCCGCCUGGGGAGUACGGCCGCAAGGUUAAAACUCAAAGGAAUUGACGG
rnacentral:rRNA from 1 species